CAGUAGCCGCGGUAAUACGUAGGCGGCAAGCGUUGUCCGGAAUUAUUGGGCGUAAAGGGAGCGCAGGUGGGACGGUAAGUCCGUCUUAAAAGGCAGGGGCUCAGCCCCUGUAAGGGAUGGAAACUAUCGAUCUUGAGUGCCGGAGAGGAAAGCGGAAUUCCCAGUGUAGCGGUGAAAUGCGUAGAGAUGUGGAGGAACACCAGUGGCGAAGGCGACUCUCUGGUCUGUAACUGACGCUGAGGAGCGAAAGCGUGGGGAGCGAACAGGAUUAGAUACCCCUUGUAGUCCCUGUCUCUUAUAC
rnacentral:rRNA from 1 species